rnacentral:tRNA from 1 species
ACCCUGUCGCUCAGUGGAAGAGCACUCGCCUCACACAUGUGAGGCAUGGGUUCGAUCCCCAACACUA